rnacentral:rRNA from 1 species
CAGUCGCCGCGGUAAUACGAGGGGGGCAAGCGUUGUUCGGAAUUAUUGGGCGUAAAGGGCGCGUAGGCGGUUUGACAAGUUUGGUGUGAAAUCUAUGGGCUCAACCCAUAGCCUGCAUCGAAAACUGUCGGGCUUGAGUAUGGGAGAGGUGAGUGGAAUUUCCGGUGUAGCGGUGAAAUGCGUAGAUAUCGGAAGGAACACCUGUGGCGAAAGCGGCUCACUGGACCAUUACUGACGCUGAGGCGCGAAAGCUAGGGGAGCAAACAGGAUUAGAUACCCCAGUAGUCCCUGUCUCUUAUAC